ACUGGGGCUGUCAUGGCUAAAGCUGGUGACACUACAAUUGUAGGCAGUGGCAGGAAGAAGGCUGGAGAUGGUCACGACAUGGGAAGAAACAGCAACUGGUUCCUGGGGUUUCAGAAAAUAAGGUAAAAUUAUCCAAUUUCAGGGGCAAAGUCAAGAACUAUCAUGAAUUACUGCAAGAGCUCCCAGUGGUCCAAGGAAUACGACAUGAAUACUGCAGUGAGGGUUUCCUUUGUUCUGGCUGAGAAUGUGGCUCUAGGUGAUAAGAUCCUCAGGAAAAUCUCCUAAAGGAAGAGGAAAUAUAAACAGUAAAGAGAUGUACAAGCACAAAGAAAAGACCGUGUGAGGACACAGUUACAAAGUGAUCAUCUGCAAGCCUCAGGAGAAGCCUACUCUGCUCACACUUGGACCUUGAACUUCCAGACUCCAGAUCUGCUGGAACAUGCAUGUAAUGGUGAUAAAGCUUCCUCUCUAGAGACAAGGACUAUGCAUAGUGGCAGAUGGAACAACAAAACAGAAUUUGCCUCCCUGGGUGACCCCUUAAAGCAGAAGUGCCUGGUUAGUCCUGUGCUAUCAUGGGAGAGAUGUGAAAAUUGAGACCAUCUCUGUCAAUAUGCUGAGACAAUACCUGUAGACUGCUGGUUCAGCAUCACUUAUUUAUUUGACCCAGGAAAAGAUAGAAAAUCAUCAACAUCAAUACAUUGGUGACAACAGACUGCUUACCAGGUAAGUAGCUUGUCUAUUAACCAUAGUUUAUUGAUCCACACUUGCUAUGUCCAUUUAAACUGUUAUAAACUAUGCCCAAUCCUAGUCAGUUUUCCAUCUUGAAAGGCAUACCUUAAACCACUUGAGCCAGGAAGCCAAAUCCUAUUAAUAUUUCAUUUCUUUUGUUCCCCCUUAAAAGACAGUGCAAAGACUGUCAGGGUGGUGUUCAAUAUAUUAAGUUUUGCUCUACUAAUCAGUUGUCUCUAAGUAGGCUUUAGUGCCUAUUUAGCUGACAUUUUAGGGGGUUCUACCGGUGAGAAAAUAGAAGCCCAGAAUCGUUAAGAUAAUUCAAAGUUUGACAGCUGGAAUUGAGCAGUCCCAGGUUGAGAUGUUACAUCUGAGCUUUUUCCAGACAACUGUCCUGGUGAGAAGGAAAGAGCAUUCUCAGAAAGUUUACAUCAAUAUAGUUAAAUUAUAAGAAUUAUUGAUACAGUGAAGUUUACUUAUAAUUAAAUAUGUGAUUAUCAUUAUAGGCAAAAGACUAACAGCGCUUGCCAAGUAACUGCUAUUUUCUCCUUUUUGGGUAUUCUUUCAGUUUUCUGCUCUAAUAUUACUAUUAACAUCUGGAACAAAAAGUGCUCUGGAUAUUGGCUAGUAAAGAAAAGAGACAUGCUUAUGUAAGUUAAUUGUGUAAGAAUUCACAGAUGAUUGAUUUCUUUCCACUUUUUUUUUUUCUCAUACAUUUCAACAGAGUAAACUAGAUGUCUACUGAGGAAACUAUUUGCCAAAAUUAUUCCUCUAAGCGGUAUUUUUCUCCUCUGUUUUCUCAGGACAACUCUAAUUACAACCUUGUCGUUCGAUAAAAGGUUCUUGAAACGUCUUAGUUCAAACCACAAGGGUUAGUGUUUCUUUGAUGAAUUUCCCCUUUUCAUUGCUAUCUCUGACUACUGAUGAUGCAACUACAUAAUUUAAGGUUUCCGAGGAUCUAAGACUAAUUGUUUUUUAAGUGCUUAAACUUUGUGUCGUGUAUUUUGCAAAGUAGCUUAUAUAAUAAUGAAGUUGUAAUAAAUAAUAACAGAUAACUGAUACUAUUAUCAUCCCCAUUUUCCACAUUAAAAAAAACAUAUUUAGAAAAGUUAACGUGCUCAAGGUUAUAUGUGGUAUGCGGAGGGUCUAUUCAAAUCCAGAUCUACCUGUCUCUAAACCCUAUUUUUUAAUUUCCACAAGGGACCCUACUACAGUCAGCCUAUGACUUUAAAAAUGGCUUAAUUAAUAAGAAAAUGGAGGCACUCUAACAAAUAUAAUCAUCAUAUGGGUAAAAUCAAUCGACUGUGCAGUGUGAAGCUGAUGGCUGUGCCUGCCAUAUUUCUAUUCUAAUCAAUCCCAGCCGGAGAGUACAUUAAUCAAGGUCAGUGCCUCAGAAUAAAAAUAAGUCAACGGUGGUAACACAAAAUAAAAAUGGUAUUUUGAUUUCUAAAGAUUAUCAACUAAACAAAAUAAUGAAUGAUCAGAAUCAAUAUUAUCUCCCAUGAAAUUGAUGCUCACCCAGUGCUGGGUGAAUGACUGGCACUUUCUAGAGAUUUGGAACCUUGGUAACUCCUCACAAUAAUGCUCUCUCCUUGUGGAACUGUUCC
rnacentral:lncRNA from 1 species